GUCGAACGCGAAAGUGGAGCAAUCCAUGAGUAGAGUGGCAAACGGGUGAGUAACGCGUGGGCGACCUGCCUUCGAGUGGGGGAUAACAUUCCGAAAGGGAUGCUAAUACCGCAUAACAUCCUUCGUUUAGAUACGAGGUGAUCAAAGCCGGGAGCAAUUCUGGCGCUUAAAGAGGGGCCCGCGUCCGAUUAGCUAGUUGGUGGGGUAACGGCCUACCAAGGCUUCGAUCGGUAUCCGGCCUGAGAGGGCGGACGGACACACUGGAACUGAGACACGGUCCAGACUCCUACGGGAGGCAGCAGUGGGGAAUUGUUCGCAAUGGGCGCAAGCCUGACGACGCAACGCCGCGUGGAGGAUGAAGACCUUCGGGUCGUAAACUCCUUUCGACCGAGAAGAAUGGCUCCCGACCUCAUACGUCGGGAGCAUGACGGUAUCGAGGGAAGAAGCCCCGGCUAACUCUGUGCCAGCAGCCGCGGUAAUACAGGGGGGACAAGCGUUGUUCGGAAUUACUGGGCGUAAAGGGUCUGUAGGUGGCCAACUAAGUCAGACGUGAAAUCCCUCAGCUUAACUGGGGAACUGCGUCUGAUACUGGAUGGCUUGAGUGUGGGAGAGGAAUGCGGAAUUCCAGGUGUAGCGGUGAAAUGCGUAGAUAUCUGGAGGAACACCGGUGGCGAAGGCGGCAUUCUGGACCACAACUGACACUGAGAGACGAAAGCCAGGGGAGCAA
rnacentral:rRNA from 1 species